rnacentral:tRNA from 1 species
GGAAGAGUGGCAGAGUGGCCGAUUGCACCUGUCUUGAAAACAGGAGUUCUUCACGGGACCGGGGGUUCGAAUCCCUCCUCUUCCG